rnacentral:rRNA from 1 species
GGCCCCUACGGGAGGCAGCAGUGAGGAAUAUUGGUCAAUGGGCUUACGCCUGAACCAGCCAAGUCGCGUGAGGGAAGACUGCCCUAUGGGUUGUAAACCUCUUUUGUCGGGGAGCAACGCCGGCUACGUGUAGCCGGACUGAGAGUACCUGAUGAAAAAGCAUCGGCUAACUCCGUGCCAGCAGCCGCGGUAAUACGGAGGAUGCGAGCGUUAUCCGGAUUUUUUGGGUUUAAAGGUUGCGUAGGCGGAAUGCCAAGUCAGCGGUAAAAUCGCGGGGCUCAACCUCGCCCCGCCGUUGACACUGG